GGAAGAAGGGGACAUUUGAUGUGAUGGUGUUUGUCUUCCCAAGUCACCAUUAAGUAGGGCCGUUCUCUCCUGGAAUGGCUGAACAUGCCCCCUGCCCAUGGGAAGCAGUGAAUUGAUUCCUUGGUUUUGCUUUGCUUGCAGAAUAGUAAGAACAAUCAAGAACUGAGCCAACACUUUGACUAGAAGAUUUCUACUGAAAUUUUAGGAACAUCUAAAGCCAGGUUGAACUUUCCAUGAUGUCAGAUACCUCCAACAGUGUAUUUGAUCACAUAGUCACAGUGAGCUACUUUACACAGCAGCCAUGAAAGCAGAAUCUUCAGAUGCAACAGCAGAACAAACACUGCUAUGUGUGACUUAAUAUUCAGCUACACUGCUGCCAGGGGAUGGCACCUCCA